GAGCUGACGGCGUACCCUUUGUAUAAUGGGUCAGCGACUUACAUUCAGUGGCAAGGUUAACCGAAUAGGGAAGCCGUAGAGAAAUCGAGUCCGAAUAGGGCGAUUCAGUCGCUGGGUGUAGACCCGAAACCAGGUGAUCUAUCCAUGGCCAGGAUGAAGGUGCGGUAACACGUACUGGAGGUCCGAACCCACUAACGUUGAAAAGUUAGGGGAUGAGCUGUG
rnacentral:rRNA from 1 species